GAAUUUCAAUUUGUAAUUGGCUGACGUUGUUUAAUCGGUUUAACGUUACCUCAUGACGGUGCAGUUUUGUUUAAAUAAUGCAAUGAGUUCAAUUUUUGAGUGAUUUUGGACAAAUAUGUAACGUUAACCAAUUAUUAUUAUUAAGAGACUAACGUUAUUAAAUGUGCUUUCUUAAUUUUGUAUUGAGGUAACUUACACUACAAUUUGUCUAACAUUACAUAAUUAAUAAAAUCUAUAAUUCUGUAUGUGCUCGACGUAUUUGCAAAACAACGCAAAAAUAGCUAAUUUUGUAUUUGCGGGUACAUUUAAACAGUUAAGUUAGUGCAGUUCUCUUACGUUCAGGGUGGUGGUUUCAGAUUAUGGUGUGAGUCAAGCAAUGUGGGCAAAGAAACAUGAUGCAAUGCAGGUGUUUGUGAUAUUCAACCUUUAUCACUAACUCCUUAAUUGUACAUUUGUCACAAUAUCUUCAUUUUAGACUGUUAAUAAAUUAGACUUUGGGGGUUAUUUUCGCUGUUUAAAUGUAAUUAAAUUGUGAAUGUCAGUUAUUUCUGCUUGUUACACGCGGUGUGGUAAAUGGCUGCGUCAUUCACUUCGUGAGAGAAAAUGAUUUGCUCGUUUUUUCGCCUAAUGUAACUUGUCUUAAAAUGUAGCAUUUUAAAUGUGUGCUGCUUCUUUCAGAGUUCACACACGAGUAUGUCUGCACUUUGAAGGGAGUAGGGCAUAGGGACGGUGACUAACGAUUGGAAUUCGCCCUAAUAGUGACGGAUAGCUGGAAUUAGAUUUGAUUGGUUGAACCGCGUUCAAAGCUGUUCACGCGCGUCUGAUCUACGUAUGACGACGCAUGACCACGCGCGAUUUGAAUGCACAACUUUACAGAAGGUAGAAAAUUAAGAAAUCGCACGUAAGCGCGUUAAGGUCUUUAAAGGUGCAUUUAUGGGAAUAUAUUAAAAGAACACUCAUCAUCAAUGUACUAAAACCUGUCCUGAAUAGUUUUUGUUAACCAAGUCACUCACCUAAGCCACAGUUUUUUUAUUGCAUAUAUUUUUGUUAAAUUACUUUAUAAUAAGAUGCAAUAACUUUAUGAAAAACAUUUUCAUAUUUAAUGUUAUAGUACAUUUUGUUUGAUAAUACAAAGUUUUUUAUUCAAUCACUAUUUCAGGUUUGGAACAUGCUGCUGAAGUUGGUUAUCAGGGCUCCAGGAUAUGUAUCAAACUGCAGGAUGGAUUUAUUUUUGCUCAUUAGUGAAGGUGGUAAGCUAAACUGACUGUGGACUAAUGUAUGCAUUGUUGAUGACACUGAAAUCGAGGAAGACAUUCUACAAGAUGUGCUGCUUACAGUUAGAGGACAAAAUGAAGAUGCAACAAGCAGCUUCUGCCACUGUCAUUUACCAUCUGAACUUGACCAAAGUCGUUCCAAGAAAUCUAAGACAACAGAUGACUCCAUGACCGAGGAAGACUCCUACAAGGAACCAGUGAGAGCAUAGACUGUGAUAGUGACAUGGCAACACUGCCUUUACUGCUCCAUCUCCUUCCACCAUCACCUCAACGGAAUCAGUGCAUCAGAUUUGCAGUGAGCAGGCUUGUGGUGUAUCAUAAGUCUUGUACCAGCCUUGAAGAACAUCUUCAGCAACGAGUAGGAUGACAACCGUACCUUACUACGGUUAGCAGGAUCUGCGGCCAGAUUUGAGAACUUUGACGUGGCUUUUGAUAAGAAUCUCACCGCAUCAGUCGGAAGGCUCCCUUUUAUUAGCAUUUGACUUUGUUUUUAAUGUAAUGUAUGAUGAUGGACUCCUUUACUUUAACUAAUUUAAUCAAACAACCGUUUACAUGUUGGGAAAACUAGAGAUUGAGAGCUGAGAGCAAACUUUUUUUAACUAGCUGUAACUAGUAUCUCAUUUACGGUUUCAGCAUGCAUUUUGUCCUUGCCCAAAUUUCUAAUUAAUAUGUGCUGAAGAAAAUUGUGAUUACUUUUGUGAUGUAUUGUUUUACAGAAUGUUUAGUGAAAGAUUUGCUGUGAUUUGCCCUAGAUGUGUGUCAGACAUGGAUUUUAAAACACUUUUCCAGUUUUGUUUAAACUCCUUGGCAAAAUUGAAAGGACUGUAUACAUAACCACUCUCUGAAAAUUUUGAAAAAGUUCACAAGUGAAACUUUAUUUUUUUAUAAAUAUUUAAUAAUGUCAAAUAAAUUUGUUAAAUAAAUUUGUGGUCAAUAA